CAUAUUGAAAAAGCAUGUUUCAUCUUCAUCUUCAUCGACAAACUUAGACCCAGUUGACAUUAGCUUAUUAAAGAAACUUAUACAGUUCUUCCAGAAACAGGAUCUAGCCCUAGCUUGGUUUUCCUCUGAUUCAUUACCAAGUGCAAUAUCUUGAUGGCAGGCUAACCAUUCUACGAAAACCAAAAUACCAGGCAAUAAGAAGCUUGAUGAGGGAUCAUUUAACUGGAUACAUCUCUCAACCAGAUGACCCAUGAACUCAAAAGCAGCAGUAAAUGCCUUCUGCAGAAGAACUGAUCUUUGUAGAAUCCCGGCAUAUGACUGAUUAUCAUUUUCCCUAAUCACAUUAUGGAUGGUGAAUAUUAAGAUGGCCACGAGCCUGACAAUUGCCAGUCUGCAGUCAGCAGCAGUUGAACCAAAAUUAUACUUCUCAUCAGACCCAGAAGAGAGAAGCUCAAGCAGAUCAUUCUUAACCAUCAACAACACUUCAUCAAAGGUCUCCAAGCUAGUGCGCGUGAAGAGAAUGCCAUUCAACCGAACAUACCCUGUGCUAAAGGUUUUGAAGAUUUCAGAUGUACUCAAUGCUUUUUCCUUUGGUAAACUUGCCUCAACCUUUCCAUCUUUCAGAGACGGCCUUGUUUCAUAUUUACCUCGUCCUCUACCAGUUGUUCGGGAAGGAGUUACCUUGGUAGACGAAGCCUUAGCAUCCACUGGCAGCUGGGAGAAAUAUUGACGAUUCUUCUCAAAUGCAAUGAUCAGGUUGUCCCUUGCAGUCGUAAAAGGAUUCUCUACUGCAAGACUACGAAAAUACCGAUAGAUUGCCACCAACUCAUCACUGGAAUAGGAGGCCAAUAUUGCAAGCUGAUGAUGAGGGUUGCCACUUGAUGGCCACAAUGAAGAAGCUUGCGUGUAAUAACUUGAUGCUGCCGCAAGGUCACGAGCUUUAGAGUCACCCUCACCAUAUAAGCCUCUGUACCGAGCAAGAUCACCCAGAUAAAUCAAACAACGAUGGCAGGAUACCAAGCCUUUCUUCACCUCAAUAGACUUAUUAGCUUCAUUAGAAGAAGGAAUCUGAUCCCCUGGAUCAUCAGAGAAACCUCCUACUGUCAGGCCAUACUUUGCCCUGAUUUUCACCAUCAAAUCAUGAUAGAAGCCAGUUGCUUCUGACAGAAAAGUCUUGAACUGCGUCCGGAUCUUUAUGAUGUUAUCCGAACCGUUACGAGGUGGACCUUUCCCAGUCUGAGAGGUUGAUCCACUUGAAGCUAUUGCAGCAUUGAAGCGUGCACGCAGUUCUUCAAUUCUUCUAUAAUGCAACUGCCACAAGGCGUACUCUAUUUCA
rnacentral:misc_RNA from 1 species